GGCUCUCUCCAAGUCCGCUUUAAGGUCGGGCGGGCGGGCUGAGGUGGGCGGGACCUGGAGACUGCAGAGCUACAAAUGCAGCCCGCGGAAGGCGGUCGGGGCUUGCUGGGUUUUUUCUAGGACGCAGUUCGUAUUAAAGUGGACGCAGCGCAUUUUUCGUGGCCGAGACUGCAAGUCACCGCGCAGAUGAGGCACCCUGAGAGCGCUGGCGGCCUAGAGGCCCUGGACGCUGUGUUGUGUUCUGCAGACGCCUCUCACCGUUAGAGGUGGAACAUGCCUUCCCGCCCCAGGAGUUUGUUAUCGUAUGUUGUCCUCCUGAUCUGCCACUUUGAGCAGGUUUCCUAGUGACAUCUGCAGAUGGGCGCCUGGACUGAAUUCCACAGCCCCAUCUACGCCGGGGAGGGGACGUGGAUGGAGUCUCCAGGCGAAAAAAGUCGGAAGCACUGUGUUCCUGAAGCUGCAUUAACCGUUAAGAGGAGGAAAAUGAAGCCUGAGUGUUAAGGUGCUGGAAGACUUAUGAAUAUAGAGAAAUUUGGUCCUUAGAGAAAGGGACAGGUAAUAGGCCAAAGGUAAGAACUUGAGGAAUCAACGACAGUGCAGGGAGGUGAGGUCGUUGGAAUGAGCGGAGUCAUUCGGAGCCAUGGUAUCCAAACUCCUGGAAGUAUUAGAGCCAGGACAUCUUUCAGGAAAUCAAUGUUUACAUCGUAAUUUCUAGAAAGCUGCCUAAAGAUACACCUUUCCCCCUAUUUUUUACGCUUUCACUUCCACUCUUCUACCACUUUUUUACAAAAGAAAGUCAUACGGGGAAUCCCGUCUGACUACGUGAUGUGUUGUCCCAGGUGUGAAACCUCUGGGACACCACACACAAGAACGAUUGGGAACAUAGAUAUUUGAUUUCUGAUUUCUUCCCAAUUUCUUGCUUUUAACAAAACUGAAGGAGUAGCUGAUAGAUACUACUGGCUGAUACAGAUUAUUUUUCAAAUUGUUGGUGAUACAUGCUUCAAAUAGAUGAAACUUCUAAGAAGAAACAAUAACUGCACAAAAUAUCUCCCCCUAAUAUUAUUAUAGUGGCAAUUUUAACAUAUAGCCACAAAAAUCUUUGAUACCUCCUUCCUCCAGCAAGUAGAAUUUGAAUUAUCCAGUCCCUCGAGUGUAUGCGAGGGACUUGGUGCCUUGCUUCUAAAACAGAACGUGGAAAAGGAGAAUAGUAGUUUUUAUAGUGGGGAAACCGGCAGACACCUCUUUAACCAACUGGUCAAGGUUAACACCAGUGGGUGAAGUCAUGUUGUUAUCAGUUAUCCCCUGAUGUGAGGCAGUGAAGAACUCUACUUCAUCUCUGAAAGUCUUUGCAAAAAUUCACGACCCCAGACUAAUCAAGAGAAAACAUCAGCCCAAUACAAAUUGAGACCUUCUUGAAAAUACGUAACCAGUACACCUCAAAACUGUAAACAUCAUGAAAGACAAGGAAAAACUGAGAAACUCACAGAUUGGAGAAGACCAAGGAGACAUGACGAUUAUAUGCAAGUGGGAUCCUGGAUUGUAUUCUGGAACUGAAAAGGGACACGAGUGGAAAAAUUGGUGAAAUCUGAAUAAUAAAGUCUACAGUUAAAUGAUAAGUAUUAUAACUAUUUUGUUCCCUGUACUGUGCUUUAAGAUACUGACUGUAGAGGAAGCUGGAUUAUAUGGGGGACCUCUUUGAACUAUUUUUGCAACUCUAAAAUUAAUUGAAAAUUUAAAAGGUAAUUGGUGGGGGCAGACUCCACAUUGCAGUGGAUUGAGAAAUGAGUAGAGGACUAGAAGUAGACAUAGGUGUGCAGACGCAUCUUUCCGCUUUUUUCCUGAUGCAUUUUAGUUUCAUAAAGAAAAGACCUCAGUUAAUACAGCAAAGUGCCAACAUCUGUCAAAUUCAUUUGAGUGUUACACGAUUCCCUGCACUGUCUCAGUGGGUUUGAAAUAGUCCCUAAAUACAUAUUUGGCUCUGAAGGAGAGAGAACAAGUGUAUGGUACGAAGGAAAUGCAGAGUUGGGGCAGGGUAGACUGAUGAAACAGCUUUACUCAUCAAUAGGAAGGGAGAGGUUGAAAAUACAGGAGGCAAUUGAUGGUGAUUGAUGGAGCAGCUUUGUGAAGAAAGUGGGGGCAGAGUUAAGUGAACUGGCAGAGAUGGAGAAGUUAUUCUUGAUGGCAAGGAGGGACUCCAUCUUGUGAGACUGGAGGAAAGAAGGGGCAGUGGAAUAAGAAUGCCAUUUCUAAUAAGGGGAACAGGAGACCAAGGGAAAAUAUUGUUGGCUGAGCUCUAAGCCUGUACAUCUUCUGUGGUUUCCAUUUCUGUCUUCCAUGCUGUCUUCCAACAUACAUAUAACAGCAAAGAUGAAUGGAAACAUUUGGAGUUUUCAGUUUUGCCUUGUAGGUAAAACAGCCAGUUUGGGGAACAAUCAAAGACAAUAGAAAGCAGUUCAGAUGAUUUAACCAUGGCACCUGAGAAAGCAGAGGAACUGGAAAAACGAAGAAUUCCAUGUUGAAGUUUGGAGAAGGCAGGAACUGAAAUGGUGAGAAGUUGAAAUAAAAGAAGAGAGUACUUGAACAUCACUUGAGCAUCAAGACUUUAGGAGAAUUCCAUGACCAGCUCACCUGUGAGUAAAGGUAGACGAGGCAAGGAGGAACCAGACCUAACUUCUGGGCUUUGAAAGCAAGGCAUCCACCAAACUGGGCACCUCCUCAAGUGCUGCAUGCCUUACAGGAUCUUAGUUCCCCAACCAGGUGUGAACCUUCGACCACUGGAGAAUUCCCCAAAUUUCUGGACUCGAGAAUGAAAAAGGAGAUAAAAAUUAAAAAGCAGUAUUAUACUGUGAUCUACUCUUGUACGUAUUUGUUGGUAUGCAUGUGCAUGCUCCGUGGUGUUCAACCCUGCUGCCGUCACUCCAAAUGUUGCCUUUAAAAACUUCUUCCUGAAAACCAUCUGGGAGUUUGGGUCUUUUGAGCCCAAACCACCUUUUCCCUUGCUGGGCCCUGCAAUAAACCUUUUCUGCUCCACA